rnacentral:rRNA from 1 species
AGUGAACGCUGGCGGUAGGCCUAACACAUGCAAGUCGAACGGCAGUACAGUAAGAACUUGCUCUUAUGGGUGGCGGUUGGUGGACGGGUGAGGAAUAUAUCGGAAUCUACUUCUUCGUGGGGGAUAACGUAGGGUAACUUAUGCUAAUACCGCAUACGACCUCCGGGUUAAAGCAGGGCACAUUCGUAUCUUGCGCGAUUGGCUGAGCCGUUGUCGGUUUGGCUAGUUGGCGUGAUAAAGGCCCACCAAGGCGACGCUACGUAGCCGGUCUGAGAGGAUGAUCAGCCACACGGGAAGUGAGACACGGUCCAGACUCCGACGCGAGGCAGCAGUGGAGAAUAUUGGACGAUGGGGGCAAGCCUGAUACAGCCAUAUCGCGUGAGUGAAGAAGGCGUGCGGGUGGGAGAGCCCUUUUGUUGGGAAAGAAAAGCAGCAGGAUAAGACGCCGCUGUUCUGACGGUACCCAAAGAAUAAGCACCGGCUAACUUCGUG